rnacentral:tRNA from 1 species
AAAAAUUUAGUUAAACCCCAUAACAUUAGCUUGUCAAGCUGAAAUUAUCCCAAAGAUAAUUUUUA